rnacentral:rRNA from 1 species
AAUAGCUCACUGGUCAAGUGAUUCCGCGCCGAUAAUGUAGCGGGGCUUAAGUUAUCCGCCGAAGCUGUGGCAACCUGUGUGGUUGGGUAGGGGAGCGUCGUGUCAGUGGUGAAGCUGCCGGGUGACUGUGUGGUGGAGUUGAUGCGAGUGAGAAUGCAGGCAUGAGUAGCGUGUGACGGGUGGGAAUCCCGUCCGCCGAUUAUCCAAGGGUUCCAGGGUCAAGUUUGUCUGCCCUGGGUGAGUCGGGUCCUAAGGCGAGGCCGACAGGCGUAGUCGAUGGAUAACGGGUUGAUAUUCCCGUACCGGUGAAAAACCGCCCAUACUGAUAUUGUGAUGCUAACCAUGCGAAGCAUGAUGUGCAGGCUUUUGUUUGUGUGUUGUGUGGGUUGUGGGACCCGAUCUUUGGAGGUAAACGUGUUAACAGGUGUGACGCAGGAAGGUAGCCAAGCCACGCGAUGGUUGUCGUGGUCUAAGCGUGUAGGGUUGUCGGUUGUUAAAUGCGCCGGCUGUGUGCCUGAGACGUGAUGGGACCCCGUUUUUGGGGGAUUUGGUGAUCCUAUGCUGCCGAGAAAAGCAUCGGCGUGAGGUUUUAGCCGCCCGUACCCUAAACCGACACAGGUGAUCAGGUAGAGAAUACUAAGGCGAUCGAGAGAAUCAUGGUUAAGGAACUCGGCAAAAUGCCCCCGUAACUUCGGGAGAAGGGGGACCUUGAGCGUGAUGGGCACUUGCUGCCUGGAGCGUGUAUGGGUCGCAGAGACCAGGGGGAAGCGACUGUUUAUCAAAAACACAGGUCCGUGCGAAGUCGUAAGACGAUGUAUACGGACUGACUCCUGCCCGGUGCUGGAAGGUUAAGAGGAUUGGUUAGCUCUUUUGGGCGAAGCUGAGAAUUUAAGCCCCAGUAAACGGCGGUGGUAACUAUAACCAUCCUAAGGUAGCGAAAUUCCUUGUCGGGUAAGUUCCGACCUGCACGAAUGGCGUAACGAUGGCCACACUGUCUCCUCCCGAGACUCAGCGAAGUUGAAGUGUUUGUGAUGAUGCAAUCUCCCCGCGGCUAGACGGAAAGACCCCAUGAACCUUUACUGUAGCUUUGCAUUGGACUUUGAACCGAUCUGUGUAGGAUAGGUGGGAGGCUUUGAAGCGUGGACGCUAGUUCACGUGGAGCCGUCCUUGAAAUACCACCCUGGUUUGUUUGAGGUUCUAACCUUGGCCCGUGAAUCCGGGUCGGGGACAGUGCAUGGUAGGCAGUUUGACUGGGGCGGUCUCCUCCCAAAGUGUAACGGAGGAGUUCGAAGGUACGCUUGGUACGGUCGGACAUCGUACCUAAAGUGCAAUGGCAAAAGCGUGCUUAACUGCGAGACCGACAAGUCGAGCAGGUGCGAAAGCAGGACAUAGUGAUCCGGUGGUUCUGAAUGGAAGGGCCAUCGCUCAACGGAUAAAAGGUACUCUGGGGAUAACAGGCUGAUACCGCCCAAGAGUUCAUAUCGACGGCGGUGUUUGGCACCUCGAUGUCGGCUCAUCUCAUCCUGGGGCUGUAGCCGGUCCCAAGGGUAUGGCUGUUCGCCAUUUAAAGAGGUACGUGAGCUGGGUUUAAAACGUCGUGAGACAGUUUGGUCCCUAUCUGCCGUGGGCGUUGGAAUCUUGACGGGGGCUGCUCCUAGUACGAGAGGACCGGAGUGGACGUACCGCUGGUGUACCUGUUGUCUCGCCAGAGGCAUCGCAGGGUAGCUAUGUACGGAAGAGAUAACCGCUGAAAGCAUCUAAGCGGGAAACUCGCCUGAAGAUGAGGAUUCCCUGGAGGCUUGACCUCCUUGAAGGGUCGUUCGAGACCAGGACGUUGAUAGGCUGGGUGUGGAAGCGCAGUAAUGCGUUAAGCUAACCAGUACUA